rnacentral:rRNA from 1 species
UACGGAGGGAGCUAGCGUUGUUCGGAAUUACUGGGCGUAAAGCGCACGUAGGCGGCUUUGUAAGUUAGAGGUGAAAGCCCGGGGCUCAACUCCGGAACUGCCUUUAAGACUGCAUCGCUUGAAUCCAGGAGAGGUGAGUGGAAUUCCGAGUGUAGAGGUGAAAUUCGUAGAUAUUCGGAAGAACACCAGUGGCGAAGGCGGCUCACUGGACUGGUAUUGAUGCUGAGGUGCGAAAGCGUGGGGAGCAAACAGG